rnacentral:tRNA from 1 species
AUUAACUUGGCAGAAUCAUGCGGUAGACUUAGGAUCUACUUAUGCGGGUGUGAGCCCCGUGGUUAAUA